rnacentral:rRNA from 1 species
GACGUAGGGCGCGAGCGUUGUCCGGAUUUAUUGGGCGUAAAGAGCUCGUAGGCGGCUUGUCGCGUCGAAUGUGAAAACUUGGGGCUCAACCCUAAGCCUGCAUUCGAUACGGGCAGGCUAGAGUUCGGUAGGGGAGACUGGAAUUCCUGGUGUAGCGGUGAAAUGCGCAGAUAUCAGGAGGAACACCGGUGGCGAAGGCGGGUCUCUGGGCCGAUACUGACGUGAGGAGCGAAAGCGUGGGGAGCGAACAGG